rnacentral:SRP_RNA from 1 species
UUGCGACCCUCGCAAGAUUUCCAUAGUGAGGCAAAAGACGGCGCUGAUUCGGCGAAGGGCGGAGUUGAUUCGGAGAUUGGAGGAUGCGGACCGAGGCAGCGAUGCUGAGGAAAUGGAGCAAGCUUGCGCGCACAUGGUGGCAGUGG